rnacentral:rRNA from 1 species
GUAACUGCGGAGGGAUCAUU